rnacentral:rRNA from 1 species
UACGGAGGAUGCGAGCGUUAUCCGGAUUUAUUGGGUUUAAAGGGUGCGUAGGCGGAUUUUUAAGUCAGCGGUAAAAUGUCCGGGCUCAACCCGGGCCGGCCGUUGAAACUGGGGAUCUUGAGUGGGCGAGAAGUAUGCGGAAUGCGUGGUGUAGCGGUGAAAUGCAUAGAUAUCACGCAGAACUCCGAUUGUGAAGGCAGCAUACCGGCGCCCGACUGACGCUGAGGCACGAAAGCGUGGGGAUCGAACAGG